rnacentral:tRNA from 1 species
UAGAUGAAUGCUCGCUGGCUGGGGCGCCUAGCUGUUAACUAGGAAUUUGUAGGAUCGAGGCCUUCUCAUCUAG